AUUGAACGCUGGCGGCAGGCUUAACACAUGUAAGUCGAGCGGGGUGAUGGUGCUUGCACUAUCACUUAGCGGCGGACGGGUGAGUAAUGCUUAGGAAUCUGCCUAUUAGUGGGGGACAACAUCUCGAAAGGGAUGCUAAUACCGCAUACGUCCUACGGGAGAAAGCAGGGGAUCACUUGUGACCUUGCGCUAAUAGAUGAGCCUAAGUGGGAUAAGCUAGUUGGUGGGGUAAAGGCCUACCAAGGCGACGAUCUGUAGCGGGUCUGAGAGGAUGAUCCGCCACACUGGGACUGAGACACGGCCCAGACUCCUACGGGAGGCAGCAGUGGGGAAUAUUGGACAAUGGGGGGAACCCUGAUCCAGCCAUGCCGCGUGUGUGGAGAAGGCCUUAUGGUUGUAAAGCACUUUAAGCGAGGAGGAGGCUCUUUUGGUUAAUACCCAAGAUGAGUGGACGUUACUCGCAGAAUAAGCACCGGCUAACUCUGUGCCAGCCGCCGCCGUAA
rnacentral:rRNA from 1 species